UUAGCACCCCUGGAGAGCUGAGCGCUGAGGCCAGGAAGAGCAAGCAUAUCUUACAGAGCUUCUGAUGGCCAGUCAGAUUAGAGAAAGAUGCCAUUAUCAGAGCACUACAAGAGCAGUAUCAGGAGAAAACACCAUCCAUCUGAAUAGAAUAUAGAGAACUGUCUGUUGCCAUGAUUAAUCCAUAUUGGAUUUGUCUCAUAAUGAGUUAUACAUGUUUGAGGAUGGUUUUGAGAUGGAACCUGCUGAGAUGGGCAGCUCUGAUGCCUUGGACAUUGUUCAACCAGACAUAUUGACCACCAGACCAGACCAGACCAGAAUGAGGUGGACUGGAGACGAUAGAGACAGACAAGAAACAUAAGCUACUGAGCUCACUUAAUGUGUCUAUGACUGAAAUGAGCCCUAUAAUAUACAGAAUCAAAACUUGGAGACUUAAUGGAUGGCUGACAGCUGGCCUGGCCGUUGAUAUAAUAGACAGACCCAGCCAGUCUGUCCUGAGCCACACAGGAAAAGUUUUGAAAGAGAUCUGGGAAGUAACGUAACAGUCUCAUAGAAUCUGACCCUACGAGAUCCGGAGUACUGCUGGUUUUCAGUUCUACCUGAUAAUUCAUUACACCCACCUGGUGCCCCAGGUCUAAAUAUGUCCCUGCAUAGAAGGGAAGAAUUGGGGGGGCAUUGUAACUGGCUUCAAGGUCCAGAUUUGAAUGUGAGGCCCAAACAAGGUGUUGAAACACAGAGAAUAUGUACUAUUCCCAGUCUCUGACAAGAUCCCACAGCCAUUUAGACAUUGUGUGAAAGCUGAUCAUAAAUAGGAUUUGAUUUAGUGCUUCCAAGUAUUGAGGUCAUGUUCUGAGUUUGCCUAUGAGGGUGUCUGAGAGCAGAAUCAUAUUACUGAUGCAGGUAUUUCACACUGCUAUAAAUAUGAAGGAUUAUAAUUUGGGACCCAUCUGAACACUAUUUCACUUUGUUGUGACAGGGCAGGGUGAGUCACAGCUUUUAACAGUACACCACCUGAAAAUACUCUGUAGCUUUUCCACGAAACCAAUAUGUAUAGUGCAAUAUUAACGUCCUGAAUAAUAAAACAUACUUUUACUAAAUCAUUUUGCAGAGGAACGUGCGCGCACACACACACUGAUACACGCAUGCAAGCACGCAAACACACACACUUGUAUGACAUAAAAUAACCAAAGACUUAAGCAAUAGAUCCUGUCUAUAGCAAGAGCAUUUUAUUGAGCAGAAUACAUUUUUGUCCUCCUUUGAUGUCAAGUGAUAAUCAUCUCUUGAGUUUUUGCAUAUUUUUCAGACAGGACGAAUAUAAUGGAACAUAUUAAAGGUGCAACACAGGAUUUAUUUUUGCAUUGUAAUUUCAGAAAAAAAUUCCAUAAUAUAUCCGGUACUAAUAGUGGAAUGAUGGUGUUUCACCGUAUUAAUGACCAGCCAGUGUUGUGAUUGGCUGUGAUAUUCACCUAUUGAUUUCUCCUGCCGGUGCAGCAUCUGUUUUCAAACUGGGAAAGCUAUUCUGACUUCGUAGCUAUGUUAUCAAGUGGAAAUUGGUCUGUCAUUUUCUGGUUGCUAAAAUUCUACACUGUUUGCUCAAUUUCAGUUUAUGUGAGAAAACAAGCACUGCAUAGUGUAAGGGAAUCAAUGUACCAUCUAAAUUGCUGUGAAAUAUCUUUUCAAUAACAAACAAUAUAAUUUUUUACAGCUGUUUGAAACUGGUGGACCAAAUCAAAAGCUACUUUUGGUUUUGGUCACUAUUCAGUGAUUGUUUUUUUCACAUAAACUGAAAUUGAGCCGAACCGUGUAGAAUUUUCUAAACCAAGAAAUGAGUGAUUUCCACUAGAUAUCCCAGCCACAAAGUCAGAACAGCUUUUCUAGUUUGACCACAGAUGCUGCUGUGGCGGAAACGUAAUCAAUAAGCGAAUACACCAGCCAAUCACAACACUGGCGGGUCAGUAAUAUUGCGACACACUAUCAUUUCACUAUUACCGGCAGAUAUAUUUUGGACAUUUUUUAAAAUGAAGAUGCAAAAAUUUGAGGAAAAAAUCUUAUGUGUAGUACUUUUAAGGAGUCAUCAGUGAUGCAUCUCUGAAUAAGACCACCAGUGGGCGCCCAUACAUGGCAUUGCACAGCAGAGAACACACAAGCAGUAGGGACAGGCCAAUCUAACAGAUUCUACCUCCAGUUUAUAGACUUCACUAUGUAUCGAUGUCUUGAAGAAAUGUGUAUCCAACAAGUUUGAUUGCAUAAAACAGCAAACUAGACAAAGUGUCUGUAUUGAUUGUUUGAUAACAAAAUGAGUGAUAGAGAUAAAAACACAAGGUAACAUAGACCAGUAGGGUUUGGUCAGUAUGAUUGGGACCAGUGGACUGUAAACACAGGGUUUGGUCAGUAUGAUUGGGACCAGUGGACUGUAAACACAGGGUUUGGUCAGUAUGAUUGGGACCAGUGGACUGUAAACACAGGGUUUGGUCAGUAUGAUUGGGACCAGUGGACUGUAAACACAGGGUUUGGUCAGUAUGAUUGGGACCAGUGGACUGUAAACACAGGGUUUGGUCAGUAUGAUUGGGACCAGUGGACUGUAAACACAGGGUUUGGUCAGUAUGAUUGGGACCAGUGGACUGUAAACACAGGGUUUGGUCAGUAUGAUUGGGACCAGUGGACUGUAAACACAGGGUUUGGUCAGUAUGAUUGGGACCAGUGGACUGUAAACACAGGGUUUGGUCAGUAUGAUUGGGACCAGUGGACUGUAAACACAGGGUUUGGUCAGUAUGAUUGGGACCAGUGGACUGUAAACACAUGGUUUGGUCAGUAUGAUUGGGACCAGUGGACUGUAAACACAAAUAAACACAGUUUACCCACCUUUUAUUUUGAGAGCGUGACUUUUUUCACGGCGGCCCGGCGAUCAGAGUUUACCCACAUCUUUCUCUUACCACUACAUCACUGAUUGGUCCCAAUGAUGAUUUAAGAGUCGACCUACCACAUAUCUUAGUAAUACUUUACAGGAGCAAGAUUGUCAGACUCAUGUUCAGAUUUUCAGCCUUGUAUAUUACUAAACUGCAUGAACCAGAGACACACAACCCCACUCAGUGUCCCUCACACAUUAGAUUCACUCAGUGAAAAACAAUAACGCAGAGAAAAAAAGCCUUUGGGAGGUUGUGGGGCGGUGUUGUGUGCUCCAUGGAGUUGAUCUAGAUAUCUUUCUCAGAUAUAUUUAUUUAUUUCAUUGAAAAAAUAAACUGUUUUCGCUUUGUCAUUAUGGGAUAU